rnacentral:lncRNA from 1 species
UUCAGUGAAAAAGGUCAUCUGAUUCACAAUGGGAAAAAAAACUGAAAUGGGGUUUUUACUGAAAGAAGCAACAUUUACAACCAAAAAAGAUUUUUUUUUUUAAAUCAGGAAAGGAAAGGUGUCUCAAUAAUUAUAAGAAAACAAGAUGUGGCCAGAAAAUCAUGGUAAUUCUUUGCAUGUUCCUCUAAUAUUAGGAAAUGGUAUUACAGCUAAAAAAAAGGUGACCAAGAAGGACUGUUGGAAAGUGUUGAGGCAUCUGAAUUGCUUAUGUUUCUGCUUCUUUCAUGGCCCAGGAUUUUGCAGCCUGGAAGGCAAGCGGAGAAGAACAGGGAGCCAGUUAGCUCAGCUGGCUUUCAUCUUUAGAAACAACAUGAUAAUGAGAAGGCACAAUUAUUUUGAACCCCUUUUAAUCUAGACUCCUCCUGGGUCAGAUAAUAGGACUUUAUGUGUCUGGAUAAGGCACUUCCAACAUGUUUAGGGAUCAUGGAUUAGCACUGGACAGAUUUAAAAACAAAACGUAAGAAAAAUUCCAAUAGUCUAUUUAACAUAAUGAGGUUACAUGCAAAACAAGUUUUAAAACAAUCUUUUAGAGUAACUUAAAUGCCACCCUAGUAAGUAAAGGAGGUGAGAUUUAAACCAGGUGGUUUGGCUUUAAAGGAACACUCAUUACCACUCAUUACACUGCUACCUUUUACUGACUGCAUUGGCCUCAAUGCCCCCCAAAUUCAAGUGUGGAAACUUAAGCCACAUUGUGGUGGUAUUAAGAGGUGAGGCCGUUGGGAAGGAGGACUUCAUGAUUGAAUUAGUGCUUUAUUAAAGGCCUGGAGGGAACUAGUUUAUGCUCUUCUUUUCUUUUGUUAAUUUUUUUUGCCUUUCUGCCUUAUACCAUGUGAGGACACAACAUUUGUCCCCUCCAGAGGAUGCAGCAAUAAGGUGCCAUCUUGGAAGCAGAGACAGGGCCUUCACCAGACACCAAACCCGAAGAUGCCUUCAUCUUGGACUUUCAGCCUCCAGAACUAUAGAGGUAAAGUUUGGGGAUGAAGUUGCUAAAUUUGUGAUAUGGAAGAAUUUGUGCUGUGGGGUAAGAGGGGGGACAUUACCUAAACACUUUUGGUACUAUAAUCCAACAAACAAAAAUUAAUAAUCUUACUAUCAUAGAGUGGGAAACAUGCAAACUGGAAAGCUACAUUUAAGGCAUAUCUAUGCAGACCAGGGUAUUCUGACAACUGCUGAUUUCUUCUUUUUGAAUUCUGUGUUGAACUAGAUUGUAGGUGGCAUUUAUGGUUCUUCAUUUGAUUUUAGAGUUUUAGGUUUUUGUUCCAAAUCGUGGGUAGAUUUUUUGGGUAAAAGGAUCAUUUUUAUAUCCCCUUCUGUCAUUUUGCUUGGCCCAAUUCUGGGUGGAGAAGAAUUAUUUGCUGCUUAAUUCAUCAGACUGGAAGGUACACAGGCACACAGAAUAAUAUGUGUAUUGGUGCUUUCUUUGUAAAUGUAGGAUUGCUGUUGUUGGGGAGUCUCAUAUUUCAGAAAGUUUGUAUCUGGAUAAGAAUGUGGAGAAAAAUUUCAAUGACCUCUCAGAGAAAACAGUACAAAAUAAAAAUUCAUUUUAAACUACACACACAUAUAAAAUUUUACAUGUAAUUUAUGCUAUACGUUAUGGUCUUGAAGCCCAUUCAUGGAUUUCUGUUGCACCCUGGGUCUUAGAAUAUAUCUGAAAUCGGUAUGGAUUGGACAUAUGCAUAAGUUUAAUUUGUGUAUUUGAUUGGUUAAUCUGCACAUAAAUGGUUUUGUAUAU